UUGGAGGGCAAGUCUGGUGCCAGCAGCCGCGGUAAUUCCAGCUCCAAUAGCGUAUAUUAAAGUUGUUGCAGUUAAAAAGCUCGUAGUUGAAUUUCGGAAUCAGUACGUUGGUCGUGCCUUAGGUACGUACUGGUGUUACUGGUUUCUACCUUCUGACGAACCAUCAUGUCAUUCAUUUGGUGUGGCGGGGAAUCAGGACUGUUACUUUGAAAAAAUUAAAGUGUUUAAAGCAGGCUCGCGCUUGAAUACAUUAGCAUGGAAUAAUGAAAUAGGACGUUGAUCCUAUUUUGUUGGUUUCUAGGAUUGACGUAAUGAUUAAUAGGGAUAGUUGGGGGCAUUAGUAUUCAAUUGUCAGAGGUGAAAUUCUUGGAUUUAUUGAAGACUAACUACUGCGAAAGCAUUUGCCAAGGAUGUUUUCAUUAAUCAAGAACGAAAGUUAGGGGAUCGAAGACGAUCAGAUACCGUCGUAGUCUUAACCAUAAACUAUGCCGACUAGGGAUCGGAUGAUGUUAUUUUUAAUGACUCAUUCGGCGCCUUACGGGAAAC
rnacentral:rRNA from 1 species